rnacentral:rRNA from 1 species
UAAUGAAGAGUCGGACCUGCCCAGUGAAAUAUUUAACGGCCGCGGUACUCUGACCGUGCAAAGGUAGCAUAAUCAUUUGCCCUAUAAUUGGGGGCUGGUAUGAACGGUUUGACAAGAGCAAUUCUGUCUCUAUAUAAUUUUAUAAAAUUUAAUUUUCAGCUGAAGAAGCCUGAAUUUAAUUAAAAGACAAGAAGACCCUAUCGAGCUUUAAAAUAAUUUAAAGAUAAAUAGAUAUAUUUAUAAAUUUAUAACUUUUAAAAAUUUUGGUUGGGGCGACCCAGGAACAAGUAAAGCUUCUUUAUAUAAAAAAAUAUACAUAUUUUGAUCCAAAAAUUUUGAUUAAAGAAAUUAGUUACCGUAGGGAUAACAGCAUAAUCUUUUUUGAGAGCUCCUAUCGAAAAAAAG